rnacentral:rRNA from 1 species
UGCAGCCGAGCGGUAUUGUUUCUUCGGAAAUGAGAGAGCGGCGUACGGGUGCGGAACACGUGUGCAACCUGCCUUUAUCUGGGGGAUAGCCUUUCGAAAGGAAGAUUAAUACCCCAUAAUAUAUUGAAUGGCAUCAUUCGAUAUUGAAAACUCCGGUGGAUAGAGAUGGGCACGCGCAAGAUUAGAUAGUUGGUGAGGUAACGGCUCACCAAGUCUACGAUCUUUAGGGGGCCUGAGAGGGUGAUCCCCCACACUGGUACUGAGACACGGACCAGACUCCUACGGGAGGCAGCAGUGAGGAAUAUUGGACAAUGGGUGAGAGCCUGAUCCAGCCAUCCCGCGUGAAGGACGACGGCCCUAUGGGUUGUAAACUUCUUUUGUAUAGGGAUAAACCUACUCUCGUGAGAGUAGCUGAAGGUACUAUACNGAAUAAGCACCGGCUAACUCCGUGCCAGCAGCCGCGGUAAUACGGAGGGUGCAAGCGUUAUCCGGAUUUAUUGGGUUUAAAGGGUCCGUAGGCGGAUUUGUAAGUCAGUGGUGAAAUCUCACAGCUUAACUGUGAAACUGCCAUUGAUACUGCAAGUCUUGAGUGUUGUUGAAGUAGCUGGAAUAAGUAGUGUAGCGGUGAAAUGCAUAGAUAUUACUUAGAACACCAAUUGCGAAGGCAGGUUACUAAGCAACAACUGACGCUGAUGGACGAAAGCGUGGGGAGCGAACAGGAUUAGAUACCCUGGUAGUCCACGCCGUAAACGAUGCUAACUCGUUUUUGGGUUUUCGGAUUCAGAGACUAAGCGAAAGUGAUAAGUUAGCCACCUGGGGAGUACGUUCGCAAGAAUGAAACUCAAAGGAAUUGACGGGGGCCCGCACAAGCGGUGGAUUAUGUGGUUUAAUUCGAUGAUACGCGAGGAACCUUACCAAGGCUUAAAUGGGAAAUGACAGGUUUAGAAAUAGACUUUUCUUCGGACAUUUUUCAAGGUGCUGCAUGGUUGUCGUCAGCUCGUGCCGUGAGGUGUUAGGUUAAGUCCUGCAACGAGCGCAACCCCUGUCACUAGUUGCCAUCAUUAAGUUGGGGACUCUAGUGAGACUGCCUACGCAAGUAGAGAGGAAGGUGGGGAUGACGUCAAAUCAUCACGGCCCUUACGCCUUGGGCCACACACGUAAUACAAUGGCCGGUACAGAGGGCAGCUACACAGCGAUGUGAUGCAAAUCUCGAAAGCCGGUCUCAGUUCGGAUUGGAGUCUGCAACUCGACUCUAUGAAGCUGGAAUCGCUAGUAAUCGCGCAUCAGCCAUGGCGCGGUGAAUACGUUCCCGGGCCUUGUACACACCGCCCGUCAAGCCAUGGAAGUCUGGGGUACCUGAAGUCGGUGACCGUAACAGGAGCUGCC